rnacentral:rRNA from 1 species
UGUCGUUCUUUACUACUUGGAUAUCCACGGUAAUUCUAGAGCUAAUACAUGCGUCCAGACCCGACUUUUGCGAAAGGGUGGGGCUUAUUAAACAUUCACCCCCCCCGGCUUGCCCGGUUUCAAGGUGAUUGAUGGUAAUCGAACGAAUCGCAUGCUUCGCGAUGCUUAAUUCUUCCAAUUUCCGAACCAUCCACCUCCCACCGGAAGGUAAUGGGCCUACCGGGCUUUUAACGGGAAACGAAAAAUAAGGGUUGGAUUCCGAAAAGGAACCCGGAAAAACGGCUACCACUUCUAAGAAAGGCAGCAGGCCCCCAAUUAACCCAUCCCGGACCAAGGAAGGUAUGGAAAAAAAUACCAUUAUAAGGCUCUUUGGCCUGUUAUUUGAAAUAACAUCAAUUCAAAAACCUGUCCAAUAACCGUUGGAAGGCCAGGCUAGGA